GUCAGUACAAAGCUGAAGGGAUUUUGUUAGCAAUGGCAAAAAUUACAUUUACUGGGCUGUACCCUUUUGCUCCUGGGCAAGUAAAAGGCAGCCUUUCUUGCAUAUCCCUCUACCCUGCUGCUUGAAGCUGUUGCUGCUGAAGCCUAAUUCUGGCAGAGAAGUCUUUAGCUCCUGCCAUCAUGUCCAUCAAUGUACCUGAGCUGUGAGCAUGCAGAAGCAGGAGCUCGACCUGUGCAAGCCUCGGAUGCUGCCUCUGACACUGGGAUGGAUGGGAUGCCCUCAGCCACCAGUGCCACCCUCCUGUGCUCCAGUCGUGCCACCAUGCAGUCCUAACUGGAACGUGGCUGGUGGAAGAGCCCUGCUUCUAUAAGGUUACCCUUUGGCUUUCUUUUGACACCUUUCAUCACGUUUCCAGGAUCUGAGAAUUCCUGGAGAAAAGGAUACAAGUUUUUUCAAAUUCUCCAGACACAGCUUGGCUGCAGUGAAGCAACUGGACAUUGUGAAUACAGAAGGGAAGGCAUGUACUGUCUGGAUUAUUAAUUUCCAGGGGAAAGGAAAAGGUUAAUUUACAAAAAUGAAAAAGAAAUGACUCAUUGUCAAGCUGAAAAAAGAAGUGAACAUGAAGAAUUUUGGCAUUUAUGACUCUUGUUGUCAUAGAAACUGAACUUGAUAUUUCCAUAGAGCAAUCCGUAGAGGUAACAAAUACUGUACUUUAUAGCGGUGAUGAAUUAAGAUCAACUUAAGAUUUCCAAUACAUUGUCAAGCAGAUCAAAUACAGGUUUAUUUUGUAUUGCCAAGUUGUUAUCAGAGCCCUUAAAAACCAUUGGCGAUAUAUUUAAAUGAAACCUAUCUGGUAUUUGCAGGCUAUUAUUAGAAUUUAGAGUGGCUGGGGGAGAGAUAUUACAAUAGCCUAGCAAAAAAGUUCUCAAAUUUCCAUCAGAAAAGAGCAUGUCUUAUGGGACACAUCUCUUGUUUGCCAUCACACAAUCUCCUCUGGCACCUAAGCAAUGACCUGCAUAGAAAACAGUUCUGUGCAGUUUUGUGGAUCUUGAGGGCAGUUUCUGAGACUGAAAUGAAAAGGGGACCCAGCGCGAGAGGACUGACCAGUUCUCAGGACAGCACAGCUCAGGACCUGCUGGCUUCUCUGAGGCCUUACAUAUUAGGUCUUUUGGCAGCUGAUACGACAGACGUUGCUUGGGUUCCCCAAAUUCUACUUAUCUGUGUAGACCUAUUAAAAGUAUGGUGGUGCCACAUCCAGGAUCUGAGGAUUUCAGCUAGUUUAGCAUAUCCCAGUGUGGCCACCGGGUAGCUGAGACCACUGGAGACAUAUACUAAAAGGAUUUUUUUUGACCAUUUUGAUCAUGAACCAUUACCUCCCACAUAGUUAUGACUGCAGGGCUUCUCUGAACGUGGUUCUGUUUCAAGGUGAGCACUUCUUUCAAAAAAAAAAAAACACAUCACAUUUGAUUUUAAAAAUUCCAGUAAUGGAUAACUUAUCACAAUUCUUUGUAUAUUAUUCCUCUUUAUUUUAAUAUACAAACAAGAAAUCCUGCAACCCCCGAACUAUUCUUAUUCUUAAAUUAGCUUUAUUUCCUAUCUGGAUACUUUUUUGUGCUUUAUUAAGUAGGUUGGAGAAUCUUCUGUCAAAGUUAUGUUCCAUUUGUUGUUCAAAGUUGGAAGUUGUGAUCAAGAUAGACAUUUACCUUUUCUUUGGUAAGUAAAAUGUUGACUUCCUAAGCAGUC